rnacentral:rRNA from 1 species
UACGGAGGGGGCUAGCGUUGUUCGGAAUUACUGGGCGUAAAGCGCGCGUAGGCGGAUCUGCAAGUCGGGGGUGAAAUCCCGAGGCUCAACCUCGGAACUGCCUUCGAUACUGCGGGUCUCGAGUCCGGGAGAGGUGAGUGGAAUUCCUAGUGUAGAGGUGAAAUUCGUAGAUAUUAGGAAGAACACCAGUGGCGAAGGCGGCUCACUGGCCCGGUACUGACGCUGAUAUACGAAAGCGUGGGGAGCAAACAGG